AUCGAACGCUGGCGGCAGGCCUAACACAUGCACGUCGAGCGGAGCUGCGGACGGGUGAGUAAUGCCUAGGAAUCAGCCUGUUAGUGGGGGAUACCGUCCGGAAACGGGCGCCAAUACCGCAUACUAUCAGAUGACCCUCGGUCGGAUUAGCUAGUUGGUUGGGUAAAGGCCUACCAAGGCUACGAUCCGUCACUGGGCUGAGAGGGUGAUCCGUCACACUGGAACUGAGCCACGGUCCAGACUCCUACGGGAGGCAGCAGUUGGGAAUAUUGGACAAUGGGCGAAAGCCUGAUCCAGCCAUGCCGCGUGUGUGAAGAAGGUCUUCGGAUUGUAAAACACUUUUAGUAGGGAGGCGUUACCAACAGAAUAAGCACCGGCUAACUACGUGCCAGCAGCCGCGGUAAUAC
rnacentral:rRNA from 1 species